UGGUUGUGUUUUAUGGUUAGAAAAAGAUAAAGUGAUGAGGACAUCAGUCCACCUGACCGUGGCUUUAGAGUCUACCAGAGGAGGAGACGCAAGUAUCAACCCUCCAUGGCAUCUCUUUGGGCUGAUGAUGAGUUUAGGGGCUAUCAUAUUGAUAGGACCCCGCUGGUGGGCCCCAUGGUGA